AACGAGGAAUUCCUAGUAAACGCAAGUCAUCAGCUUGCAUUGAUUACGUCCCUGCCCUUUGUACACACCGCCCGUCGCUCCUACCGAUUUCGAGUGGUGAGGUGAACUCUUCGGACUGCUUGCGAGUGGAAAGUCGAGUGAACCUUAUCACUUAGAGGAAGGAGAAGUCGUAACAAGGUAUCUGUAGGUGAACCUGCAGAUGGAUCAUUA
rnacentral:rRNA from 1 species